GAAACCCAGGCUAAUACCGCAUACGCCCUUCGGGGGAAAGGCUUCGGCCGCUAUUAGAUGAGCCUAUGUCUGAUUAGCUUGUUGGUGGGGUAAUGGCCUACCAAGGCGACGAUCAGUAGCUGGUCUGAGAGGACGAUCAGCCACACUGGGACUGAGACACGGCCCAGACUCCUACGGGAGGCAGCAGUGGGGAAUAUUGGACAAUGGGCGAAAGCCUGAUCCAGCAAUGCCGCGUGUGUGAAGAAGGCCUGCGGGUUGUAAAGCACUUUCAGAUGGGAAGAUAAUGACGGUACCAUCAGAAGAAGCACCGGCUAACUCUGUGCCAGCAGCCGCGGUAAUACAGAGGGUGCAAGCGUUAAUCGGAAUUACUGGGCGUAAAGCGCGCGUAGGCGGUUUGUUAAGUCGGAUGUGAAAGCCCCGGGCUCAACCUGGGAACUGCAUUCGAAACUGGCAGGCUAGAGUAUGGUAGAGGGAAGUGGAAUUCCGGGUGUAGCGGUGAAAUGCGUAGAUAUCCGGAGGAACAUCAGUGGCGAAGGCGGCUUCCUGGA
rnacentral:rRNA from 1 species